rnacentral:rRNA from 1 species
GUGUCAGCAGCCGCGGUAAUACGUAGGGGGCGAGCGUUGCUCGGAAUUACUGGGCGUAAAGGGUGUGUAGGUGGCUGAAUAAGUCAAAGAUGAAAUCCCGAGGCUCAACUUCGGAAUUGUCUUUGAUACUGUUCAGCUUGAGGUUAGUUGAGGAGAGCGGAAUUCCCGGUGGAGCGGUGAAAUGCGUAGAUAUCGGGAGGAACACCUGAGGCGUAGGCGGUUCUCUACACUAAUCCUGACACUGAGACACGAAAGCUAGGGGAGCAAACGGGAUUAGAUACCCCGGUAGUCCUAGCCGUAAACGAUGGACGCUAGAUGUUCCUGCGUUUAUGCGGGAGUGUCGUAGCUAACGCGUUAAGCGUCCCGCCUGGGGAGUACGGUCGCAAGAUUGAAACUCAAAUGAAUUGACGGGG